rnacentral:rRNA from 1 species
GACGAACGCUGGCGGCGUGCUUAACACAUGCAAGUCGAACGGAAAGGCCCUGCUUUUGUUGGUUGCUCGAGUGGCGAACGGGUGAGUAACACGUGAGUAACCUGCCCUUGACGUUUGGAUAACUUCAAGAAACUGGGGUUAAUACCGGAUAUCAUCUCCUGCUGCAUGGGGGGGGUUGGAUAGUUUCGGCGUUUGGGGAUGGACUCGCGGCUUAUCAGCUUGUUGGUGGGGUAGUGGCUUACCAAGGCUUUGACGGGUGGCCGGCCUGAGAGGGUGACCGGCCACAUGGGGACUGAGAUACGGCCCAGACUCCUACGGGAGGCAGCAGUGGGGAAUAUUGCACAAUGGGCGGAAGCCUGAUGCAGCAACGCCGCGUGCGGGAUGACGGCCUUCGGGUUGUAAACCGCUUUCGCCGGUGACGAAGCGUGAGUGACGGUAAUGGGUAAAGAAGCACCGGCUAACUACGUG